UACAGAGGUCUCAACCGUUGUUCGGAUUCAUUGGGCGUAAAGGGCUCGUAGGCGGUUUGUCGCGUCGGGAGUGAAAACUCAGGGCUUAACCCUGAGCCUGCUUCCGAUACGGGCAGACUAGAGGUAUGCAGGGGAGAAUGGAAUUCCUGGUGUAGCGGUGAAAUGCGCAGAUAUCAGGAGGAACACCAGCGGCGAAGGCGGCGCUCUGGGCUGGAACUGACGCUGAGGAGCGAAAGCGUGGGGAGCGAACAGG
rnacentral:rRNA from 1 species